UUUCUACGACGAGUAAGAGUUACGUUGUAGGGUUACGGUCUACACUCAACUUGACGUUGGCGUUGAUGGGACUCCACACCCGUUCGAUUAUUUCCGCUGAGACCUAUGAGCAUACCGAUCCAGGGAUGGCACAGAUACACAGAUGCUUGAUCGGUUGAGGUCGGCUCGCUACAUGCUGCCUAAAUUGGAUACAUUUAUUUUUCUUACAAAUGAAUGGCCCAAGAAGGACAAGAAGGAUGAACAUUGGAGCAUGAUCAAGCAUGGAGAGGAUGGCACGCGCAAGUGGAACAAGAACGGAGUUUUCGGUGGAUUUUUCAGCACUUUGAAGCCACCAUGAUGACAUACGAGGACAUGGACGAAAUAUAGAACAUGGCCUUUCAUAAAUUUCGUCCAUUGCUUAAUAUAGAUGUUGCGCCACCUUAUUUUUGGGCCAGGCCCAUGUAAUUUUGAAAUAUACUUAAUAGGCUAUUUUUGGAGCCCGUAUUAAUAGGGAAAAUGACUUAGGACAGAAUUUAGUCCCACCUUACGAAGGGUGGACGAAAUUCCCCUCUGUAUCCCUAUAAAUACAACCCUUAGGGUGUCGUUUUAGACUUGGGUUUUGUUUAGAUUAAAGUUCGCCAUACUGCAAUGCGUGUACUUCUUUUGUGUCCAAUGACCAGGCGAAGACGUUUUAGAACCCUGCUUUGAUCAAUAAAGCUUUCCUCUUAAAUUCGCAA